UAAUACGAAGGGGGCUAGCGUUGCUCGGAAUCACUGGGCGUAAAGGGUGCGUAGGCGGGUCUUUAAGUCAGGGGUGAAAUCCUGGAGCUCAACUCCAGAACUGCCUUUGAUACUGAAGAUCUUGAGUUCGGGAGAGGUGAGUGGAACUGCGAGUGUAGAGGUGAAAUUCGUAGAUAUUCGCAAGAACACCAGUGGCGAAGGCGGCUCACUGGCCCGAUACUGACGCUGAGGCACGAAAGCGUGGGGAGCAAACAGG
rnacentral:rRNA from 1 species